UACGUAGGGUGCUAGCGUUGCUCGGAUUGACUGGGCGUAAAGGGCGCGUAGGCGGACUGCCGCGUCCGGGGUGAAAUCCUCCGGCUCAACCGGGGAAGGGCCUCGGAUACGGGCGGUCUGGAGGGGGGUAGGGGCGUGCGGAACUGUGGGUGGAGCGGUGAAAUGCGUUGAGAUCCACAGGAACUCCGGUGGCGAAGGCGGCACGCUGGACCCCUUCUGACGCUGAGGCGCGAAAGCCAGGGGAGCGAACGGG
rnacentral:rRNA from 1 species